AGGUCUUGCGACUUUUUACGCUAACCUGGCACUCAAACGACGCCGAAAUCUGCAUACGACGGAACUGGCUUUGGACACAGCAACGACGUCGGAGUUCCCCAAGUGGAUAUUCUGGGCCCCCGCAGUUUGCGACAUGACAGCAACAUCCCUCAUGUUCGUGGGUCUGAUCUUCACUUAUGCCAGUUCUUUUCAGAUGCUCAGAGGAGCCGUGAUUGUCUUCACCGGCCUGAUGUCGGUGGCGUUCCUCACCGCCGUUUGAGGUACUACC